rnacentral:miRNA from 1 species
GAGGGCUGGGCGGGCCGGGC